rnacentral:rRNA from 1 species
GAUGAACGCUGGCGGCGUGCCUAAUACAUGCAAGUCGAGCGAACGGACGAGAAGCUUGCUUCUCUGAUGUUAGCGGCGGACGGGUGAGUAACACGUGGAUAACCUACCUAUAAGACUGGGAUAACUUCGGGAAACCGGAGCUAAUACCGGAUAAUAUUUUGAACCGCAUUGUUCAAAAGUUAAAGACGGUCUUGCUGUCACUUAUAGAUGGACCCGCGCUGCAUUAGCUAGUUGGUAAGGUAACGGCUUACCAAGGCAACGAUGCAUAGCCGACCUGAGAGGGUGAUCGGCCACACUGGAACUGAGACACGGUCCAGACUCCUACGGGAGGCAGCAGUAGGGAAUCCUCCGCAAUGGGCGAAAGCCUGACGGAGCAACGCCGCGUGAGUGAUGAAGGUCUUCGGAUCGUAAAACUCUGUUAUUAGGGAAGAACAUAUGUGUAAGUAACUGUGCACAUCUUGACGGUACCUAAUCAGAAAGCCACGGCUAACUACGUG